rnacentral:tRNA from 2 species
AUCUUUCUAGUAUCUAAAGUCAGUACAAGUGACUUCCAAUCAUUCAGUCUUGGUUAAAAUCCAAGGAAAGAUA